GGAAGUUCUUUUUCUGGUUUUGUUUCCAGUACAUUCUGUUUUCACAUUGGAACGAGUCUCCCUACAGGAGCUUCUCUCGUAGCUUCAUAGUUGAAAAACAUGAAGGGGAACACAUUGGCAGAUACAAAGUGCCAAAGGUCUGUUUCAGCUAUUGAACAAGGGACUUCAACAAAGGUUUCCACAAGUGCAGGACAACGUAGAUGCCAACAACAUAUGCCACAACACAGACAAAUGUGUACUCCAGCAGCAAGUAGAUGUGAGACACAAGGGACUUUGGAAGUAAGCUCAGCACUUCUUUGUGUAAAUAACUGCUCAUAGCUGUAGUUACAUGUUACAUGACAGAAGAUAUGCAGUAAUACAAUUUUGGAAAAGAAACAAUGUAAACCACAUAAAAAAUAGUUGUCUGUAUUUUUAUAUACUUUAAAUUAUUUAUUUUCUAUAACUGCAUAAGUACCUUUCCCUUGACAUCUGCUGUUGUAAUUUUACUUUGAAGCAUUAGGCAUGGCAAUGAUUCUGCAUCAUAAGUCAAAACUAUACACUUACCUAAUAAUGUUAACAAUACCCAUUAAUGUAGCAUUUCUACAAUUACCUCAGGGCAGUCUAGCUUGACGAUCUGUCUGUUACAGGGAAGUAAGGAGGUUUACAUUGUGGAGGACCCCAGCAUCCCUGGUUGGUUUUCUCAGUAACACAGGCAAGUCCUUUGUUUUACCUGUAAUGGCCCCAUUGCCACCCUUCAGGCAUUGGACUAGUUCUUGAACUAUUUUGUUUAUGACAUGUUAUGCAGAUACAACUAUGUUGGUGUAUUUGAUUGAAAUUGAAUUGAAUAUAUUGUACCCAUAUGUCUAUUAUGAUCAUGUACAUAGUUAGACAUUAGUUCCUACAUUUGUCAGUAACAAGGAUAUAUUUACCAUUUUGAGGACCAAAUUCGUGCUUUAGGCAGUGAGGAUCUGUGAAACAUAUGUGUAAGAAUUGCUGAGCGGAAUCCAGACAUUCUUCUUGAAGUUCUUGACAGUCAAUUCCUACAUGGUCCCGAAGUUUCACAACAUCCACAUAGUCCGGAUGCUCCUGAGUGGUGUGUAUGCAACCGCUGUAAACGCAUGCCAACUGUCAUGAAGAGUGUGUGCUGCAGAAUGACUCCAGAGAACUGCAUUUCCUCAUCACAAGAAAUGCAUCAAUGUGUCCUCCAGCGUUGUGUCCUACAGACAGCUGAAGCAUACCAGCGAUCAUUAUUUGGACUACAGAUGGAAGCAGAUGAAAAUAAACGGUACAGGUACACAGAUUACCGUCAAUACAUUGUGUGGCGUCAUGGACGUUUGGGGACUGGAAACAGGAGAGUCAUUCCCAGCUGUUGUGUUUGGAAAACUCAUGACAGAUAUCCAGGUGCCAAUGGUAUUUACACAGGUUUCCAGCCCAUCAGAUUUUAGAUAUACAUACUGUCACAAUACCAUACUCAUUCAGUUGUUCUGUUGUUCACAUUCUAUGUGUUAAUAGUUUCCAUGUGUGUAUGACUAUGAAUGUAAUGUCUUCUGUUGCACAAUU